UAUUAGUAAAAAUGAACCCACCUUACAUACUCUUGGGGUUUCGUUGAAAUGUUGAGAAGUUAAGAAACUUUGUUAGAUUAUUUUACUUAAUUUUUAAAAAAUAGCCUAUCAAGGAGUUUUCAAAACUUUUUAGGUGUAUAAACACCCUAUUUCGGAAACCACCGUAUUUUACACUUUCACUUCCCACCUACACCAGCUCAGUGACAAGAAAGUGUCUGAAACAAGGUGCAAAAUCAAGGUUCUCAGAAACACGCUUGGGACGUCUUGUUCCGCAGCUUGGCUGCUCUUUCCGCCCGGAGUGUCCUUAGCCUGUGCCCCUUUCGAACUCCGGCACUUUGUCUGCGGAGUAGCUCCAGCGCAGUCUCCCAGCGUUACCUGGCAGCCUCCUCCUUCCUGGAGCAGGAGAAGCGGCUCUGUCUCCUGUGUUCCAUCAUCGAUUAUGGCUGCUCUCACACUGGGUUAGGAAGGUUUGGUCACCUGAGUGCCUCCCUCCUCUGUGCUGUUGGACUCUAUGGUUUACAUACUCCUAGAUGCUAUUUUUUACAUACUCCUAAGUUUUCAACCUGAGAAAUCUGAAACCAUCCCCUAACCUUACCUGGUUACCUGUUGAAAAAUGUGUUAUCCCAGAGGUAGAUUCUUUGGGUCCUAGGCAUCUGGACUUGCAAGAGUCUCAUGUCAGUUUCAUGUGCUUACAAAGGUGAUAACAGAGAGGGACAUAGCUGUGAGUUUUUCCCAACGGCCAGUGAGUGCUUCGUUCCCUGUAUCAUGUUUUAUUUAUUUAUCUAUCCCCAGGGCUAGUGCAGUUUGGACAUAGGGUGCUAUGGGUUGAAUUACAUACUUGUCAAAUCCAUAUGUUGAAAUCUUAACCCCUAGUACCUCAGAAUGUGACAUUAUUUGGAGAGAGGGUAUUUAUAGAGGUAAUUAGGGGAAAAGGAGGUCUUUAGGGUGGGUCCUAAUUCAAUAUGACCGAUGUCCUUAUAUAGAGGGAAAAUCUGGACACAGAGCUGUAUACAUCCAGGGAGAACGUCAUCUGGAGAUGAAAGCAGAGAUCAGAGUGAUGCAGCUCCAAGACAUGGAAUGCUGAAGAUGGUGAGCAACCCACCAGAAGCCAGGAGAGAGCUGAAGAAAUGGAGGUGCUACUGGCUCAAGGAACCUGGAUUCAUUUAGAGAGUGUGCCCAGGAUGAGACGUGUGGAGAGCCUGGCCUGAACCAACACUAACAGUCUCCUGGACAGGAGAUAAGAAAAUGGAGGUCACGAGCUGGAGAACUCCUUGCUCAAGUUGCAUAGCUAAUAAGGGACUUAGC